CGUGUAGGCGGUUGGUCAAGUCUGGUGUGAAAGUCCGGGGCUUAGCCCCGGAAGUGCGCUGGAAACUAGCCAACUUGAGCGCGAUAGAGGAGGGUGGAAUUCCUGGUGUAGCGGUGAAAUGCGUAGAUAUCAGGAGGAACACCGGCGGCGAAGGCGGCCCUCUGGAUCGUUGCUGACGCUGAGACGCGAAAGCGUGGGGAGCAAACAGGAUUAGAUACCCUGGUAGUCCACGCUGUAAACUAUGGGUACUAGGUGUUCGGGGUGUUGACCCCCUGAGUGCCGACGCUAACGCAUUAAGUACCCCGCCUGGGGACUACGGCCGCAAGGCUAAA
rnacentral:rRNA from 1 species